CAGCAGCCGCGGGAAAACGAAGGGGGCUAGCGUUGCUCGGAAUGACUGGGCGUAAAGGGCGCGUAGGCGGCGGCCAAAGUCAGGCGUGAAAUUCCCGGGCCCAACCUGGGGGCUGCGUUUGAUACUUGGUUGCUUGAGUGGGGAAGAGGGUCGUGGAAUUCCCAGUGUAGAGGUGAAAUUCGUAGAUAUUGGGAAGAACACCGGUGGCGAAGGCGGCGACCUGGUCCUUUACUGACGCUGAGGCGCGAAAGCGUGGGGAGCAAACAGGAUUAGAUACCCCAGUAGUCCCUGUCUCUUAUAC
rnacentral:rRNA from 1 species